AGUGAACGCUGGCGGUAGGCCUAACACAUGCCAGUCGAACGGCAGCACAGUAAGAGCUUGCUCUUACGGGUGGCGAGUGGCGGACGGGUGAGGAAUACAUCGGAAUCUACUUUUUCGUGGGGGAUAACGUGGGAAACUUACGCUAAUACCGCAUACGACCUACGGGUGAAAGCAGGGGAUCUUCGGACCUUGCGCGAUUGAAUGAGCCGAUGUCGGAUUAGCUAGUUGGCGGGGUAAAGGCCCACCAAGGCGACGAUCCGUAGCUGGUCUGAGAGGAUGAUCAGCCACACUGGAACUGAGACACGGUCCAGACUCCUACGGGAGGCAGCAGUGGGGAAUAUUGGACAAUGGGCGCAAGCCUGAUCCAGCCAUACCGCGUGGGUGAAGAAGGCCUUCGGGUUGUAAAGCCCUUUUGUUGGGAAAGAAAAGCAGCAGGUUAAUACCCCGCUGUUCUGACGGUACCCAAAGAAUAAGCACCGGCUAACUUCGUG
rnacentral:rRNA from 1 species